GGCAGUGAGGGAACGGUAUUUCAUGAAGCCUUUUGGUCGUGCUUUGGAGGAUAAGACCGAUAGACGGUUGAUGUGGUAGGAUGUCUGUCAAUGCUCAUGUGUUCUGUGUUAUACGAUGCUAAAUCAUUUCCUAAAGGAACAUUGACCGAAUGAGUCUCUAGUCUCCAUUCAAGACGCGGUACGGCGGUAGUGUGUUCAAUGGAGCACUCAAAGAACCGCAGGAGUGACAAUUAGAAGGAAACCACCCGAUCGUCGUCACUGGCUGCAGUGUCCGCCAGAGAGCUGCUCCUGAGAGCUGCUGCGUCCGCCAGAGAGCUGCUCCUGAGAGCUGCUGUGUCUGCGAGAGAGCUGCUCCUGAGAGCGGAGUCCCGCGAUUGCGCCUCUCCUGGUUCUGCGGAGGUGGCGCUCCUUCUGGUACGUACAGUCCAGGCGCUGAUCAACCUACAGAACGAGGCGGAGCGCUCGUCGCUGCAGAUGGCGCCACCGGGGCUGGCGAGCGACCUCCAGCCGCCCUCCGUGGAGCUCACCGCUGGCACAGACGACCCAGAUCGGCGGAUGUCACCGCCCGCGGCCAUCAGAGGUCAUCGCCGGGGUCAAUCGGCUCGGCGGGCCGGUCUAGCUGCCAGGGGCCGACUGCCGCCGGCGCCGCCCCGUCCGCCACCCGGCGAGGCAGCACUCAUCAAUCAAAUCCGGCCCGAGCCCCCCUCCCCCCUUCCCCAGCCACGUGGCUGGUCGACUUUCAUCUGAAUGCCCCCUCACUCUUACGAAAAACACUUUGGUGCUUAUGUUUUUUUUUUAUCUGUGAAUAUCUCAAUAAAAUACCAAGUACGG
rnacentral:lncRNA from 1 species